rnacentral:rRNA from 1 species
CGGAAAAAUGCCCGUAUGCUAAUAACCGCAUACCGCCCUACGGGGGAAAGCAGGGGAUCGCAAGACCUUGCACUAUUGGAGCGGCCGAUAUCGGAUUAGCUAGUUGGUGGGGUAACGGCUCACCAAGGCGACGAUCCGUAGCUGGUUUGAGAGGACGACCAGCCACACUGGGACUGAGACACGGCCCAGACUCCUACGGGAGGCAGCAGUGGGGAAUUUUGGACAAUGGGGGAAACCCUGAUCCAGCCAUCCCCCGUGUCGAUGAAGGCCUUCGGGUUGUAAAGCACUUUUGGCAGGAAAGAAACGUCGCGGGUUAAUACCCCGCGAAACUGACGGUACCUGCAGAAUAAGCACCGGCUAACUACUGCCAGCAGCCGCGCAUACGAGGGUGCAAGCCUUAACCGGAAUUACUGGGCGUAAACGGCCCGGCGGUCCGAAGGAAAGAGUUAAAUCCCGGAGCUAACUUUGGCCUGCAUUUUAAUUCCGGGCUAGAGUGUGGCAGA